rnacentral:lncRNA from 1 species
UUUUACUUCAUUUGAGAAAUCUUUGCCGUAGCAGUAAGACCUCACCUGUUUUUUGAUGCAGGAAACUCGAUUUUUAAGUUAACUACAACGUGUGGCUUCUUCUGUUGAAGAAGCUAGUAAGAAAGCUAGUAGGAAAAAUUAAAAAAAUCUCCAGUCGUAAAAAAAUUAAAACUAAAUGAACUGGACAAAAAAAAAA